CGCCAUCAAAACUCCUCUUUCUCAAAUCCCAUCCUAUCUCUCAAUUUUUCUUAACUCAAAUUUCAAGUAAGUUUGCAAUCUUGAUUUUCUAUUAUUCAUGUAUGAAAUAGAAUGUGAAUGUAUGAAUUUCUUAGGAUUUCUAUGCUUCCCACUUUCUUGUUCUUGUUUUAGAUAUGCGUUUCAGAUUAUGAAUCUAUGCUUUUCAAUGAAUAGUUAGCGAUUUUAUGCAAUUUUUUAGAUUGCUUUACGAAUAGUUGGAGGUUUUAUGUAAUUUUUUGGAUUGCUUUUUGAAUUGUUGGGGGUUUUAUGUAAUUCAUAUAGUCGAUACCGACUUACUUGAAUUAAGCCAUAAUGUUUUAUUUACCUAUUAGUGAGGAAAUGAAAAAGUCUAGUGUUUCUUCUUAUUAACAUUAUGAAGUUGAAAUUGCCUGGACCACAUUCUCUCUUUGAUGUAUGUGAAAAUGAAACAAUAUUCUUAAUGAAAUUAUUUUCGGAGGACUGAAAUUGACACCUUUUAUUUAGGGUGGGUUAGCGGGCUCUCGAGAAUUCAGGGGCGGAGCCCAGUAGGGUCGGUGGGGUUCAUUUGGAUUUUCUUCGAUUAAAAAUUACAUUGUUUAUACAUGGUUAAUAUUAUUUUUAAUGUAUUACUUCUUUAUAUUUCAAACUCCCUUAGCGAAAAUUUUGGCCCCUUCAUCAUUCUAGAUAUUAUGCAAAUGAAUUGCCAUUGUUCACUGAUUUUCUAAUACAAAACAUCCAUUAUGUCUUAUCAUGAAUAGCACUACAGAAGAUUCAUAGUUACAUUGAGCCCUAUAUCUUCUAGAUUACAACCAACCCUUGGUCUGGAUAGUUUUUUUGGAAUCUUUGGAGGCGUAAAGUUAGUUUAGUCGGAGAAAACUAUUCCUGAAUAUCCUCUUAGAAGUUUAUUUAUCUGCAGGAGUUUGUCUUCUUUCAGGUUAUUAAUCCUAAGUUUCUUUUUGAUUUAUUGUUAGCUUUUGGAAACUGAGCCACUAAAUUGUGCCACUUAGGUGAGCUCACUAAAUGGAUAGCUAGGCAUGAAAGUGAUCAAACAAAAGCAUAAAUGAUGAUUAAAAGAAAAGAGAAAAAAAAAUAAAAGAAAAUUUGGAAUUCUAAACUAACACUAACCCAGAAAUGCAACUUCUGGUAGUUGUAUACUUUCAGAUAAAAUCAGUAAAAGGGUAGNNNNNNNNNNNNNNNNNNNNNNNNNNNNNNNNNNNNNNNNNNNNNNNNNNNNNNNNNNNNNNNNNNNNNNNNNNNNNNUACUUCUUUAAACACUCUUUCAUCUUUCUUACUUAUUAUGGCAUACUACACAACAUGUUUGAGGUGGAUAUUAGUAUAUUACUAUCCCAUUCUCAAAGCUGGGAUUGGGUAUCCUAGGAUUUGAUUUUAUUUGGUUAAAAAUUAUAAUAGUUUUUGUUUGAGCCGAGGAUUUGUCGAAAAUAAUUUCUCCACUUGUAACAAUUAAAACUUUUUAUGAAUUAUGUUGGGUGCUUUGGUUUGGAAUUUACCUGGUUAAAGAUCAUUCCUUUAACUAAAUGCUAAUGCUUUAUUUCGUUGCACUAUUCUUGGGUUGGGAAACUUUUGUUUUGAUUUCACUUGGUGAAAAAAUUGAAAAUACUUGGAGACUUCUAUUGGGUUCAUUAGCUUGAUUAUACUUGGUUAAAGAUUUUUAAAAAAUUUAGACUUUUAUUACUAGCCUUAGUUUUGAUUUACUUCAUUAAAUGUUGAAAAUAUGUGAAAUGUGUAUUAGAUAUCCUUGGUUUAGAUUCUACUCACUUUAAAAUUGAAUAAAUUGGACUAACUUAAGACUUUUAGUUAUCUGCGUUUUGGAUUGCACUAGGUUUAAAAUUCAUUACUUAAAAUUGUACUUGUUAUGAAAGUUCUAUCAUUUUUUCUUUAUGUUUUAGUGGCUAUUUGUUUUUAUUAAUGUACAAGUUUACUAGAAGUUCUUUGUGCAAAUUUUGAAGUCUAAUGCUAUGUCCUUUACAAAUGUUUCUAGUAUUAACUGAUAGAUUCAUAUGUUCUGCGUCUAUAAUGUGAAUAGAUUUUGUCAAUUUUAUUUUGGUCAGGUCAACUGCCUAUAAAUGUGUUAGUCUAUAGUGGAGGAGGUAGAGCUUUGAUGGUUGGCUUUGUUCCAAAAUCUGCAUGGGUGCGAGUAGCUUCUUCAUUGGCUUGAUGAGUCAAGGGAGAAGAUUUUGGCUUUGAAGCAGCAGAUAGAUGAGCUAUCUAAUGAAGCUAAGGCUUCACAGGAUAGGGAAAGGCAAAGGCUUCGCAGGAUACCUAAUUCGAUGAAUUACUUGCUUCAGGGGGAAUUUCCACUUGUCGUGGUGAUUUCGUUCGCCCUUCUCGACCUCUCCAAUCUCUACCUAUUUCACAUGGAGUAUAUGGUCAAUAUAGAAAUAUGACUGAGAAGCCCAACAAUGAUGGAGAUGAUGGGGAUUAUUGUGUGGACAAUGCACUGCCGCAUUGUUAACGUUGAGCAUUGUGCUAGAUAAUCUUAACAAUGUACAUUAUGAUGAUUUAUUUGAAUUAUUAAGUAUUUUUGAAUACAUGAGAAAUUUGAAGUAGUCUUAUCAAUAGUAUUGUAUAAAUAACUUGACUUCUAUGUUUUUUAAUUCAUUUUGAGGGUGCUUUAAAGUUAAUUUUCAUUUAGUGUUCAUUAGAUGAGAUUUAGUACUUGUGUUUAUUGUAGUUUGAUUGGUGGGAGCUCUUGGAGCUCGAGUUAGCU
rnacentral:lncRNA from 1 species